GAUGAACGCUGGCGGCGUGCCUAAUACAUGCAAGUCGAGCGAACAGACGAGGAGCUUGCUCCUCUGACGUUAGCGGCGGACGGGUGAGUAACACGUGGAUAACCUACCUAUAAGACUGGGAUAACUUCGGGAAACCGGAGCUAAUACCGGAUAAUAUAUUGAACCGCAUGGUUCAAUAGUGAAAGACGGUUUUGCUGUCACUUAUAGAUGGAUCCGCGCCGCAUUAGCUAGUUGGUAAGGUAACGGCUUACCAAGGCGACGAUGCGUAGCCGACCUGAGAGGGUGAUCGGCCACACUGGAACUGAGACACGGUCCAGACUCCUACGGGAGGCAGCAGUAGGGAAUCUUCCGCAAUGGGCGAAAGCUUGACAGAGCAACGCCGCGUGAGUGAUGAAGGUCUUCGGAUCGUAAAACUCUGUUAUUAGGGAAGAACAAAUGUGUAAGUAACUAUGCACGUCUUGACGGUACCUAAUCAGAAAGCCACGGCUAACUACGUG
rnacentral:rRNA from 1 species